rnacentral:misc_RNA from 1 species
GAUGAAGAACGUAGCGAAAUGCGAUACGUAAUGUGAAUUGCAGAUUUCAGUGAAUCAUCGAAUCUUUGAACGCACAUUGCGCCCGCCAGUAUUCUGGCGGGCAUGCCUGUUCGAGCGUCAUUUCAACCAUCAAGCCUUCGCUUGUGUUGGGGCCCCGCGGCUGCCGCGGUCCCCUAAAUCCAGUGGCGGGCUCGUCGUCGUACCGAGCGCAGUAGACAUCCUCGCUCCGGGAACCCGACGGGUGCCGGCCGUGAAACCCCCCACAUCAAGGUUGACCUCGGAUCAGGUAGGAAUACACGCUGAACUUAAGCAUAUCAAUAAGCGGAGGA